ensembl:miRNA mir-8192 ncRNA
CGGUCGAGCGAGUCUCAGUCGGCCGUGGCGGUGCGUUGAUGCCUGCUUGUGUGGCCGAAAGAGACUCAUUGGGCCUGC